UUAUCCUUUCGGGGAUACAGGGGACACAGGUGGUGCAUGGUUGUCGUCAGCUCGUGUCGUGAGAUGUUGGGUUAAGUCCCGCAACGAGCGCAACCCUUGUAUUUAGUUGCCAGCAUUAAGUUGGGCACUCUAGAUAGACUGCCGUGGACAACACGGAGGAAGGUGGGGAUGACGUCAAAUCAUCAUGCCCUUUAUGUCCUGGGCUACACACGUGCUACAAUGGUCGGUACAACGAGCAGCAAGCUAGUGAUAGCAAGCGAAUCUCUAAAAGCCGAUCCCAGUUCGGAUUGUAGGCUGCAACUCGCCUACAUGAAGUCGGAGUUGCUAGUAAUCGCGAAUCAGCAUGUCGCGGUGAAUGCGUUCCCGGGUCUUGUACACACCGCCCGUCACACCAUGGGAGUUGUCAAUACCCGAAGCCAGUGAGCUAACCAGAAAUGGAGGCAGCUGUCGAAGGUAGGGGCAAUGACUGGGGUGAAGUCGUAACAAGGUAGCCGUAUCGGAAGGUGCGGCUGGAUCACCUCCUUUCUAAGGA
rnacentral:rRNA from 1 species